GCGGCCCGAGCCCGGCCCCGCUCCCGGAGCCGGCACCGGGAGAAGGCUCCGAGCAGCGGGGCCGGCAGGGCAGGGACGGGAUCCUCCCUUUGCGCUGCGCAUCUGGAGCGCUGUGCCCAGUGCUGGGCACCUCAUGGGUGACAAGAUGGGCAAGGAGCAGCCGGAGAGCUCCUGCGGGGCGCACCCGCAGGAUUUGGGACAUCUCUGCAGAUCCCGGGAGGCUGGAGCGGCUCUCUGAUGAGGUGACACUGCGGAGCUGGGCCGGGCAACACUCACCAGCAAGGGAACUAGUUACCAACUCCAUUUCUGAGCACAACUGCACCAUGUAUUAACCCUGGAGGAGGCAGCACAGGAGGAGCUACAGCUGCUUUACAAACAGUGUCAGACACUGGUGAACAAAGAAAUCAGGUUGGUCUGAGCUGUUUUAAUGCCUGCAUGGGCCUUUUAGUUCCCCAUAUAAAAAUGAACACUUAUUAGGUUUUUACCACCCUACUUUCAAUUACUUUUUUUUUCCCCUUAAACCAGAGAAGCCAUAGUUUCUUCCCUUUCACCCUUCCUGCUUAGAAGUUGCCCAGCAAAAUCUCACAGACUAUUUCAAGAAUUUAAGGGGACACUGCUGUUGCUGGCUUGUUUUUACCUGCUGCUGCAGAGCUUUGCUGGAUGGGAACUGCCAGCAAUGACCUUGCUGAAGCCAUGUUACAGAAUUUAGGUCUUGGCACAGCACUGGCUGAAUGUGGAGAGAUCAGUAAUUACCCCUCAUGGUCACUGGGGAAAACACAGACUUUUGGUUCCCUCCCAUCAGGAAAGAUUCACAACCAAACCUCAGCAGCUGGUGUUCUUCUUGGGUCUAAAACCAAAAGUACCAGGUAUUCAGGAGUAAUGGAACUGGUUAUGUCACAUGCCUCCCCCAUUUAACACAUCAUAAUGCCAUAACUUCAGGAACCCUGCAGCAAGCAGGAGGAAUCAGAAAGCUGAGAGCUGAAGCAGUCCAGAUCUUGAGUUAUUUUUUAUCAGAAAUCCCUGAAUCUCCCCCUGUGGUAAUAAGAUAAACAGCUGGUAAACUACAGCAUUGGGUAAGGGGGGAAAAAAAGUACUUUUCUAAGUAAAAGAUGCAGACUGCUAAAGCUUUUUUAGUCCUUUCGAACCAGUCGUGUCCAUGGAGGUGUGUAUGUGGCUACCAGCAGCCUCAUGGAUACCUGAAAGUGUCACCAUCAAGCCUUGGUUUUCAAAGUUCCCCAGUCUUCUUGAGGGUGUGAUUGUUGCAACACUUACAAGAAAUCCUCUUAAAACUCAAAAAUAACAAUUCCCAGGUCUUGUGUGGAGCAUUCCAGUGAUACUCCCAACAAGUUCAGUGCUAUUCUCAGAGGCAGCAGAAGGGAUUAGCCAUGUCCUUGCCUGUCCUCAGCCCCAUUGUGCUUUAGGAUUUGGGCAGCAGUGCUGGUGGCAGCCGUCCAGGCCCUGCUGUUUGGCAGGGCAGCGAGGCGGAGCUGCUGGCCAAGGGAAGUGCCACAAACGCGAUCCAAAGGUGCCAUCUAGUGCCUGCUCGGGACCACAGGGAAACAGGGACAGCAACGAAGGGAAUUUCUUGCAACGCGCAAUUGGAUUCAGGGACAACUGGUUCAGUUGUUUUAUCAUCCUUUUUAAGAAUUACAGUGCUGUAGUGCAAGGAUAUAUUUGCAAUAAAAAUAGAUAGAGUACAUAUAUAACAAACCAGCUGUAACAGAGCACCUGGAGCUGAGAGGAUUCUCCAGGGAAAGCAUCACAUCCUUCACAGAGAACGUGACUGACUGCCUGCCAACACUUGGCUCAACAUGUCCACCUCUAACCACCAGCCUGAAGAUCUUCACCAGUGCCAUACUGGGCUCCCCAUCAUCCUCCAGUCACCUCUCCAAGGGAUCCUGCAGGGAGGCAAUGCUUGGAAAGCCACUGUGAGCACCAGGCAAUCCUUACAGAGGACCCUGCAAGGGCUGAAGAGGAAUGUCAAGUCCUGCUGGGAUGAAGGGCAACAACUAAAAGAGAGAUAAGACAGUGCAACCAUUCCAAGUGUCCUAGCACAAGGAAACUUGAGUCAACCACAGCUCUCAAGCUAGGCUAAAAACAAGCCAAUGCACACACUGCUGAAGGACUGAUUUGUUUCAAAAAAUUUAUUGAAAUGUAAAAUACUUAAUACAAAACCAUAUUGGUACCUCCUCGGAAGCGGAGCUCACCUCUCAGGCAUAAAAAAAAAAAGACCAGCAGGAUACACACAAACCAGGAGAUUGCUUGUCCUCAGCUCCUGGCUCAUAUGGACAGAGACAGCCACAUCCCAUCUCAUACCCCUGAGACAUUCAAGUCAUGAACAGCCAGACCCAAAC